rnacentral:rRNA from 1 species
AGUGGCGGACGGGUGAGUAACGCGUGGGUAACCUGCCUCAUACAGGGGGAUAACAGUUGGAAACGACUGCUAAUACCGCAUAAGCGCACAGUACCGCAUGGUACGGUGUGAAAAACUCCGGUGGUAUGAGAUGGACUCGCGUCUGAUUAGCCAGUUGGCGGGGUAACGGCCCACCAAAGCGACGACCAGUAGCCGACCUGAGAGGGUGACCGGCCACAUUGGGACUGAGACACGGCCCAAACUCCUACGGGAGGCAGCAG